rnacentral:rRNA from 1 species
AUGAACGCUGGCGGCGUGCCUAAUACAUGCCAGUCGAGCGAACGGACGAGAUGCUUGCUUCUCUGAUGUUAGCGGCGGACGGGUGAGUAACACGUGGAUAACCUACCUAUAAGACUGGGAUAACUUCGGGAAACCGGAGCUAAUACCGGAUAAUAUUUUGAACCGCAUGGUUCAAAAGUGAAAGACGGUCUUGCUGUCACUUAUAGAUGGAUCCGCGCUGCAUUAGCUAGUUGGUAAGGUAACGGCUUACCAAGGCAACGAUGCAUAGCCGACCUGAGAGGGUGAUCGGCCACACUGGAACUGAGACACGGUCCAGACUCCUACGGGAGGCAGCAGUAGGGAAUCUUCCGCAAUGGGCGAAAGCCUGACGGAGCAACGCCGCGUGAGUGAUGAAGGUCUUCGGAUCGUAAAACUCUGUUAUUAGGGAAGAACAUAUGUGUAAGUAACUGUGCACAUCUUGACGGUACCUAAUCAGAAAGCCACGGCUAACUACGUG